GUCUAUAGCCAUGCCACCCUGAACAAGCCCGAUCCCAUCUGAUCUUGAAAGCUAAGCAGGGUCGGGCCUGGUUAGUAUUUGGAUGGGAGACCACCUAGGAAGACCAGGUGCUGUAGGUG
rnacentral:rRNA from 1 species